rnacentral:rRNA from 1 species
GUCAGAGCGAACAGAUAAGGAGCUUGCUCCUUUGACGUUAGCGGCGGACGGGUGAGUAACACGUGGGUAACCUACCUAUAAGACUGGAAUAACUCCGGGAAACCGGGGCUAAUGCCGGAUAACAUUUAGAACCGCAUGGUUCUAAAGUGAAAGAUGGUUUUGCUAUCACUUAUAGAUGGACCCGCGCCGUAUUAGCUAGUUGGUAAGGUAACGGCUUACCAAGGCAACGAUACGUAGCCGACCUGAGAGGGUGAUCGGCCACACUGGAACUGAGACACGGUCCAGACUCCUACGGGAGGCAGCAGUAGGGAAUCUUCCGCAAUGGGCGAAAGCCUGACGGAGCAACGCCGCGUGAGUGAUGAAGGUCUUCGGAUCGUAAAACUCUGUUAUUAGGGAAGAACAAAUGUGUAAGUAACUAUGCACGUCUUGACGGUACCUAAUCAGAAAGCCACGGCUAACUACGUGCCAGCAGCCGCGGUAAUACGUAGGUGGCAAGCGUUAUCCGGAAUUAUUGGGCGUAAAGCGCGCGUAGGCGGUUUCUUAAGUCUGAUGUGAAAGCCCACGGCUCAACCGUGGAGGGUCAUUGGAAACUGGGAAACUUGAGUGCAGAAGAGGAAAGUGGAAUUCCAUGUGUAGCGGUGAAAUGCGCAGAGAUAUGGAGGAACACCAGUGGCGAAGGCGACUUUCUGGUCUGUAACUGACGCUGAUGUGCGAAAGCGUGGGGAUCAAACAGGAUUAGAUACCCUGGUA